rnacentral:lncRNA from 1 species
AGAGGAUUGCUACCUGGUGAGAGUGGACACACAAGAGAGCCUGAGAGCUUUAACUGAGAGUUGAAGUUAUUCUGGAGGAGGAAGAAGGUGGUGUGACCAACCCAUGAGGGUUUGCAUCGGGGGACAAAUGUUGAGUGCAGCAUUUGAAUGGCACGCCGUCUUCUCCAGACAGUGGUCAUGAAUUAAAAUGGAUAUCCAACUGUUCCAUGAGGCAACGAAUGGGGAUUUUACAUAUUAAGUAAGUUAUAUUACUUUGAAAACAACAGGUAUGAUAUAGAUCUAUGCCAUUUUCAACCAAGUAGCCAUUAGGUCCUGGAGUUGUUAAGCAGUUCAACUUGUUUAAAGAGCUAGCUAAAACAGAUUUGUUUUUCAAAAUCUUAAAUUUAAAAACUUGGCUUUACUCGAGGAAUCUUUAUUUUAAGACUUUGGUAUCAUUCAAUUAUAGUUUGUUUAUAGAUUUCUUGGGAAUCUUAAUUCAUAAUUUUUAAUAUUUAAAAUAUCUUCGAAGAAAUGUGUAUGAAAAGUAAUUUUAAUUUGCUCUUUUACAUUGACUUUCAUUUACAUUUUAAUGAAAACAUAGUCUCAUUCUUUAGAUCAGCAUUGUCUGCUGGAGCUCUCUGCUACCUGGGAAGGCUCUGCAUUUGGGCUGUCAAAGCCACAAGCUCAGACAAUGAAGAUGGCAAACUGAAGGUGAACACUUCUUUCAAGUCAGUCACAAGAGGCUUAUGUGUUGGACUGUGUCUAUGGAUAUCCUAUUGCAGAACAUGGCGUUAGAUUAGUGAGAGCAGGUACAGAUGUUAAAAGAAAUGGGGAGCCUAAAUCAGACUUUUCUUGGAUAAAACAGGGGUGAAGGGAAGCCCCAAGGGACUUUAUAGAGAAGGAAGUUUGAAGAGAAAAGAACAUGGCAAGGUGGACUGGCCAGUUCCUUAACAGAAUUGAUGAAACAAGUGAAUUGCUUUGCGUGCACAGAAGUCCAGGUGGGGUUGUAUGCACAGAUGGGUAACACAUGUGCCCCUUCACUGACAACAGGCUCUGUUGUGAGCACCCUGUCCUGAGCUGGACAUGAACCUACUACUCCUACCCUACGAAAUAUUGAAGCUCUGGGAAACAGCCCUGCAGGGUGUCCCUUAGUUACCCUUGGGAUGCGUGGCUGAAUGGGAGUUAUAGCUUACAUGCUAGCCCAUGAAAACAUCAAUAUUCACAACUCAAAACUGCGAAUAAGAUAGUUGGUUCGGGAGCCAUUUUAAAAGACAAUGGCCUGAGAAGACAAAUUUAGGUUACCCUAAUUCUAUGUUCCAAUGUGGAAGCAGCUUCACAGAAUUUUUAGAAUUUUAUAGAACCAAGCAAGUCAUAGGCCGAGGCAAGUUUAAAAUGCCUUGUUGGGUACACCAGAAAAGUGAGUGCAGAGAAAUGGGGGCUAUUCUAUAGGUCGAAUGUGUUAUCUGAUGACAUUCUUAGCUCUUUUGGCAGAAGCUACUGGUCCUACUAAGUAAAUAGCUUCUUAGAGGUUUUUAUUUAUUGUCACAAGGUGCUAGUCCAGAUACAGAAUAAACCAAGGAGUAGCUAUUCCAGAAGGCUAAAAAAUAAAGUAAUUAGCCUCUGAAUCUGUAAAAUCUCAGUCUUUCCACCAUUCUGAAAUUCCAAUUAGUCCAUCAGUCUCUGAAGACAUAGAAGCCCCUUCCAGGAGUUUUAUGUUCACAGCCAGACAGUUUCUUUUAAGGACUUUUCAUUCAUAAAUACACAUUCAUUUUGCCCCACAUUAAAAAAAAUACUGGUUGGGGGUGGUUUGGCAAAGCAUAAAUAGCAUAAAUAUUGAUCCAUCUUCUCAGGAUUUUUUUUUAUUAUUAUUCUGGAUUUUGUAGAAAUUAUUUAGAAGGGGAAUUAAAAAUGUCCAAAUCCAUAAGACAAAUAAGAAGGAAGAAAAUGAGUUUUCAUUAACAAAUUGACCUAGAUUGUUUCAGGGGCAAAGUCACCCCAAACAGCUAAAAACAAACAUGCACAUCACUGACCUACACCAAAGAGAAAAGAGAGGUAUGAAAACUAGCCUCUUUGUUGGUUUCACACGAGGGUAGCAGGUGGGGCUGAGUACAACUUCCAUGUAAACGAAAAGCUAAAACAGCAAUUUUCAGUUGUAUUCAUUUAUUUCAAAGCUUGACAAAAGCAAAACUAUCUAUUAUAUCAGUAAUGGUGAAUGACAGCAAAAAAGAAAGUCUCUAAACUAGAAUUCUAGCCCCCGACCCAAAAGUAUCUUUUGUGCUCUCUGUGGUUCAUAAAUUAUAUUGUUAUUGUAAGAUGAGUCUCAGUUAGAAACUUAGAAGUGUGUAAUCAGAUAUGGUUGUCAAAGGAAAGUUUAUAGUUUUUUUUAUAUUUUAAUUUUGGGGGUCUGCCCAAGCACCUUGAAAAAAAUAAAACCUGUAUUUGGUCUGAGAAACACCUUUAGAUACAUGCUGGAUAAUUUCUGUUGAAGCCAUUUUAUUAAGAUUCAUCAAAGAUAAGUCCAUUAGAAGAAGCAAGCAAAACUGGAAGAGCCUCAAAAAAUUGUGGUCUUUGGUUGGAAAUAAAAUUAAUUGAGUUUA